CAUGGCCUUUAGUUUACAUAAAAGGUCCAACCUGCCCACUGAAGUUUAAAGGGCCGCGGUAAUUUGACCGUGCAAAGGUAGCAUAAUCAUUAGUUUCUUAAUUGGGGGCUUGUAUGAACGGUUAGACGAAAUAAAAGCUGUCUCUUAAUAAAAUUAUGAAUUUUACUUUUUAGUGAAAAGGCUAAAAUUUAUUUGGAGGACGAGAAGACCCUAUAGAUCUUUAUAUAACGUAUCUUCUGUUAUUUGUAAAAUGUACAAGUGAGGUUGUGGCGUAUUUAGUUGGGGUGACUUAAAAAUAAAUAAACUUUUUAAAUUUAAACAAUCAUGAUUGAAUAUAAGAUCCAUGUUUGUGAUUAUAAGAUUAAGUUACCUUAGGGAUAACAGCAUUAUCUUUCUGGAGAGUUCUUAUCGAUAGAAGGGAUUGUGACCUCGAUGUUGGAUUAGAAGAGAAAUUAGGCGUAGAAGCUUAUAACUCAAGUCUGUUCGACUUUUAAAAUUCUACAUGAUCUGAGUUCA
rnacentral:rRNA from 1 species